rnacentral:rRNA from 1 species
ACGGAAGGCAGCAGUGAGGAAUAUUGGUCAAUGGGCGCAAGCCUGAACCAGCCAAGUAGCGUGAAGGAUGACUGCCCUAUGGGUUGUAAACUUCUUUUAUAUGGGAAUAAAGUGAGCCACGUGUGGUUUUUUGUAUGUACCAUAUGAAUAAGCAUCGGCUAAUUCCGUGCCAGCAGCCGCGGUAAUACGGAAGAUGCGAGCGUUAUCCGGAUUUAUUGGGUUUAAAGGGAGCGUAGGCGGGUCCUUAAGUCAGUGGUCAAAGCGUGUGGCUCAACCAUACCACGCCGUUGAUACUGGGGACCUUGAGUGCACAUAAGGAUGGUGGAAUUCGUCGUGUAGCGGUGAAAUGCUUAGAUAUGACGAAGAACUCCGAUUGCGAAGGCAGCUGUCCGGAGUGUAACUGACGCUAAUGCUCGAAAGUGCGGGUAUCAAACAGGAUUAGAUACCCUGGUA